rnacentral:rRNA from 1 species
GAUGAACGCUGGCGGCGUGCCUAAUACAUGCAAGUCGAGCGAACAGAUAAGGAGCUUGCUCCUUUGACGUUAGCGGCGGACGGGUGAGUAACACGUGGAUAACCUACCUAUAAGACUGGGAUAACUUCGGGAAACCGGAGCUAAUACCGGAUAACAUAUUGAACCGCAUGGUUCAAUAGUGAAAGGCGGCUUUGCUGUCACUUAUAGAUGGAUCCGCGCCGUAUUAGCUAGUUGGUAAGGUAACGGCUUACCAAGGCAACGAUACGUAGCCGACCUGAGAGAGUGAUCGGCCACACGGGAACGGAGACACGGUCCAGACUCCUACGGGAGGCAGCAGUAGGGAAUCUUCCGCAAUGGGCGAAAGCCUGACGGAGCAACGCCGCGUGAGUGAUGAAGGUCUUCGGAUCGUAAAACUCUGUUAUCAGGGAAGAACAAAUGUGUAAGUAACUGUGCACAUCUUGACGGUACCUGAUCAGAAAGCCACGGCUAACUACGUG